UGGGUAGAGAAGGAGCUCAGA
rnacentral:miRNA from 1 species